ensembl:lincRNA
UGUUUUUAGGUUUACAUGGGUCACAAGGAUUUCUACAUAAAGUCUUCACAAUUUCCAUCUACUCUUUCUCCCUAGAAAGGAAGAGCCACCACUUGGCCACACCAGCUCUUCCUGGCAACAGGUUUGGGACUAAACUUGGAUCAGAAGUCCUAGGAAGGGAGAAGUUUCUUUUGUCUGCCCGGUGUGGCUGCCGCAGAAGAUGUCGCCUUCUUCCCAGGACUAAGUUCGUCUGCUCCAGCAUUAGUCCUCCUCUCCUUGACAAGAUCAGCGGCCUUGCUGUGCCCGCCUAAGGCUCGCUUGCCUCCCGCGCCCUGCACUGCUCUUUCCCCCUUAGGUGCCCACCUCAGUCCCCUGGACAGGUUGCUUGCUCAGCACCAGGACUCAGCCCUCAGCAAGCCAACGCUCAUUACUCUUCUAAAAAAGGUGUUUCUAUUCUCUUGGUUCAUAGCUUUUCUACCCUUUAAAAUUUGUAUUAUUUAUCAAAGAAAGACUGUUAAAGCAGAAAACCAAUUGGAAAAGAUACAAAACACAAAUGUAAAAAUAACCCAAAAUCAUAAUACAGGGAGAAAAGAAAGGUAUAACACAUUGAUAAACAUUUUUCAUACCCACCUCUUCCUCUUUCCUCUUGCCUCCGCGUAAAUGCACAUAUGAUUUAUGGUACCAAUUUUACUUGUAUAGAAGCAUGCAGAACAAGAUCACUGACAGUCUUCAGGCUUUACUCUCCACAUAAGAAUAAAUCAAGAUUCACAGCCACCUAAUAAAUGGCUGCAUAGGCUUCUCUUCUGUGAGUGUAAGAGUAGGUGUAAUCAAGAAGCACUUGGAUUGUUGCCAUUUUUUACUUUUCUCAUAUUUUUUCUUUUCCCCUUCUUUCCUUUCCCCUACCCCUCUCACUUCCCCUACCAAUUAAAAAACAUCGAAUUCAUUCAUUAAUAAAAUUUUUGAUCAGGAUCUCAUUAUGUCAAAAAAAAAAAGAAAGAAAAAGAAGCCAACAAAGUUCUCAAAGAUUAGAGUUGAAGGUGAUAGUAUCACUCGGAAUGGAAGGGGAAAAAGAAAAUAAACACUUAGGUUGCUGGGAGCACCGCAGCAUAACCAUUCCGGAUACAGGAUUGUGGAGUGUGGGGCUAUUGGUUGGUGAAUGACCUUGUGUUCUCUUUUCCUCAGUAACUCCUUAAACUUUCAGGAGCGAACCUGAAAUAUAACUUCCCCAAAGUGGACAAAAAAGAAUUAAGAUAUGUUACUUACACGCACAAAGUCCUCAGGAUGAAUGUAAUCAUUACAUACAACAAACAUGGAUGGAUUAAAAAAAUAUAUACAAAACUUAAAGGAAAAACAAAAAGAUGUCCACUUCCCAAUCCCCAGAUGUAUUAAUAGAUGAUCGUACAUGGCAAUGGUGACUUUGCAAAUGUGAAGUAAGGCAACAUUUAACUUCUGUUAAUAACAACAGCAAUAGGAAACUAAUAUCAAUCCUGUCCCCAGUUUUUCCCCUAAUACUUUCUUAAAAGAUUCAGUGAAAUGUUCAUCAUCCCCUCUGGGUCGGUAAUUUAAUUUUGAAUCUUAAUUUCUCUCUCACAAAUAAUCUCAGAGUUGUAUAGAUUAUCAGUGUAAGAAGACUCUUAAAUUUGGGGAAAUUCUCUCUGGGAAGUGUGGAAGAAACAGACUCACCAUCCUAUGAGUGGGAAUCAGCAGGCUGGCUUAUUACCAUGGUAACCACUCAGCUAUACUCAUAGGAAGCUUCUGUCAAUGGGCCUCACCUCAUUCCCCCACCUGCCCCAUAGUCAGAUGGAAAAAAAAUACCCAAAUAUCCCUUAUGUCUGACAUGAACACUGUUCUCUAAUGCUCUCCAAAAAAUCUCAGUACACAUGAAAAGUUUUCCAGCGUUGUGCUACAUACGAAGACACCAUUUAUAGCAGGGCAAUGAGUCAAAAAUUCAAACAUUCUAAACAGGAAAAGGAAUUACUAAUUUGGGAGAGGACACCUGAGUUUAAGAACUACAAUUAUUUGAUUAUGUAAUCUGCUCACUAAAUAAGAAUCUGAGACCAAACUAGCACUCACCCUUUUGAACUGCCAUUUAGUACAGAGAAGAACCACAUUGAACCUUUUUAUUAUAUUAGCUUCAGGGUUCUCUGGUUGCAAACAACUAUUUCAAGUGCUACUCAAUUUAAACAAAAUAGAUUUCAUUGCAAGGUGUGAAGUAACUCUGUUAUUGGUAGUUCCUUUAGAAAUAGCUUGCCAAUCAAAAGUGUUACAGCUGCCUCAAACAAACAGUUGGAUAAGACAAAGCAAACACAAUACCAAACGCUAAUUUGAAAAGUGAGGGGUUAAUGGGUAUGGAAGAAACUAGCUCUGUAGAGUGAACUUGGGUGGAACAAGAGAAAAAGAAGAUAAAAGCAAAGAAAAAGAAGUACAGACUACACUUGGGAAACGCAGAGUGGGCUAUCACGGGAAGUCACCAUAGCAAGAUCCCCUUGGCACCUCCCCACUCUUACGCUGUCUGCAUCUCACGGGAGACCGCUAGAAGCUCCAAAUCUGGUUCCUGAGAAUGAUUGGGCACUCUCCUAAGAUCUUGUAAUUGAUAGGUCCCACUCAUAUUCCCAGCCGGUUUUGCCCCACCCUAUCCCCUAUAUCAGCUCUAGAACUCAUAGGAAGCUGAAGAUGGAGCUGGAAAGGUCAGCAACC